CCCUACGGGAGGCAGCAGUGGGGAAUAUUGCACAAUGGGGGAAACCCUGAUGCAGCGACGCCGCGUGAGUGAAGAAGUAUUUCGGUAUGUAAAGCUCUAUCAGCAGGGAAGAAAUACUGACCUUACGGUCAGCAGACGGUACCUGACUAAGAAGCCCCGGCUAACUACGUGCCAGCAGCCGCGGUAAUACGUAGGGGGCAAGCGUUAUCCGGAAUUACUGGGUGUAAAGGGAGCGUAGACGGUUAAGUAAGUCUGGAGUGAAAGGCCGGGGCCCACCCCCGGGGCUGCUCUGGAAACUAUUGAAC
rnacentral:rRNA from 1 species